ACCAGAAUGGCCGAGUGGUUAAGGCGUUGGACUUAAGUUCCAAUAGACGUGAGUCUGUGUGGGUUCGAACCCCACUUCUGGUA
rnacentral:tRNA from 1 species